rnacentral:lncRNA from 1 species
AGGGAGGACCUUACCUCUACCUAAGCUAAAAUCCUAGCAGGAUCCCAAAUAUAAUGGCAAACCAUUAUGACUAAAUGUCUUAUGCCAUAGGCCACUGAGAAACUGAUAUGCAUGCCAAGAUACCCAUACUCACCGCGUUGCAACUCAAGGCAUUAGCUACCUAUUUGCUUUAUCCAAAUUAUACAAGAUGAAAACAUUAUAGUCCUUUAGCAACUCCAUCAUAUAUGUUGGCAUGCAUUUAGCUCUUAUUGGGUCAUAAGAUGUUAAAUGCUGCGAUGAUCGAUGAAAAUAUCAUAAUGUACACCGUACAAAUAAUGC